rnacentral:rRNA from 1 species
AAGCGUGGGGAGCGAACAGGAUUAGAUACCCUGGUAGUCCACGCCGUAAACGAUGUGUGCUAUUAGUUCGAGGUAUCGACCCCUUGGGCUGAACAGCUAACGCGUUAAGCACACCGCCUGGGGAGUACGAGCGCAAGCUUAAAACUCAAAGGAAUUGACGGGGACCCGCACAAGCAGAGGAUGAUGUGGUUUAAUAUGAAGCUACGCGUAGAACCUUACCGAGGUUUGACAUCCCAGGAAGUCAGUCGAAAGACAGAUGUGCCUUUUGGAACCUGGUGACAGGUGCUGCAUGGCCGUCGUCAGCUCGUGUCGUGAGAUGUUGGGUUAAGUCCCGCAACGAGCGCAACCCUUGUCGUCUGUUGUCUUUUCAGGCGAGACCGCCCGGGCCAACCGGGAGGAAGGUGGGGAUGACGUCUGGUCAGCAUGGCCCUUACACCUCGGGCCACACACGUCCUACAAUGGGUAGUACAAAGGGCAGCCAAGCCGUAAGGCGGAGCAAAUCCCAUCAAAACUACCCCCAGUUCGGAUAGAGGGCUGAAACUCGCCCUCUUGAAGUCGGAAUCGCUAGUAAUGGCGCGUCAGCAUAGCGCCGUGAAUACGUUCCCGGGUCUUGUACACACCGCCCGUCAAAUCACGAAAGUUGGGAGUGCCCGACGUGCCGUCUUUAGCACGGCCCUAAGGUAAGCCCAGCGAUUGGGGUUAAGUCGUAACAAGGUAUCCGUACCGGAAGGUGCGGAUG